rnacentral:rRNA from 1 species
GACGUAGGGCGCGAGCGUUGUCCGGAUUUAUUGGGCGUAAAGAGCUCGUAGGCGGCUUGUCGCGUCGAAUGUGAAAACUCGGGGCUCAACUCCGAGCUUGCAUUCGAUACGGGCAGGCUAGAGUUCGGUAGGGGAGACUGGAAUUCCGUGGUGUAGGCGGUGAAAUGCGCAGAUAUCAGGAGGAACACCGGUGGCGAAGGCGGGUC